rnacentral:rRNA from 1 species
GACAGAGGGGGCAAGCGUUGUUCGGAAUCACUGGGCGUAAAGGGCGCGUAGGCGGGCUGGCAAGUCGGUCGUGAAAUCCUUCGGCUCAACCGGAGAACGUCGGCCGAUACUGCCGUUCUUGAGGGAUGCAGAGGAGAUUGGAAUUCCCGGUGUAGCGGUGAAAUGUGUAGAGAUCGGGAGGAACACCGGUGGCGAAGGCGGGUCUCUGGGCAUCUCCUGACGCUGAGGCGCGAAAGCGUGGGGAGCAAACGGG